rnacentral:rRNA from 1 species
UACGGAGGGUGCAAGCGUUGCUCGGAAUUACUGGGCGUAAAGCGUGCGCAGGCGGUUCGUUAAGUCCGAUGUGAAAGCCCCGAGCUCAACUUGGGAAUGGCAUUGGAAACUGGCGGGCUGGAGUGGUGGCAGAGGGGGGUGGAAUUCCACGUGUAGCAGUGAAAUGCGUAGAGAUGUGGAGGAACACCGAUGGCGAAGGCAGCCCCCUGGGCCAACACUGACGCUCAGGCACGAAAGCGUGGGGAGCAAACAGG